GUACUCAGGGUCUGAUGAUGGAGCCAGAUGGUGGUCACCGGUACCAGUGAUCCAUGUAACUAAACCACUUCGUGUUUUUUAAUGUUACACACAUAUGCGAGUUGUUUUUUUAUGUCACUAAUUAUUUUUAUUGCAGUGUUACACUAUUGCGAGAUAUGGCCAAAGUAAAAAACAGGUACCCUUGUCUCAGGAAACGUAAGAGACGGAAUGAGAUAGCCGUUCAAAAAGCACGAGAAGCUCUUGCUGCUCGCAGAAAAGAGCUAUCGAAAUUACUUAACAAUGAUGCUUCUACUUCAGGGACUAACAUGGAAAAAAUCGGUACAUUUGAUAAAGAAGUUAAUAAAGAAAACACCUAUUUUGACACCGGCAAGAAUGAUGGAUUUGUUGAAUCAAAUGAUGAUUUUACGAUACAAGUUGAAGGUUCUCCUGCUUCUUGUGACGAAAAUAAGGUAAAUCGUAAUUUUUGACGCUGAUUGUAAUUUUUAUCCGUAAGGUAUUUUCCGCGUGCCUGCUGGUAUGUUGUAAUUGUAAGACUUAUUUAAACCUUUACCAGGCCUACGUCACUCGCUCGCGGUCGCGCGUUAAGUACCUACACUUGAACAAGUAGUCAAGAGGCGCCACGCGCCCGCCUGUGUAUAUAGUCGCGUGGCAUGUACCUACUAUUCAUCUGAGUUUUAUUAGUAUUAGUUAAAUAAAGCGUAGGUAUUUGUCGUUUUGCGGGCAAGUGAAGGAUCUCUUACGUUAGUAACUUUUUAGUAAUCUGUGCCUAUACUUAAAUACUGCGUCAACUGCGUUAUUAAUUGUUAUUAACUUGUAACUUGACUAUUAUUUUUCAGGAAGCUAAUAAAGAAAACAUCUAUUGUCAGAUUGGCAGGAAUGAUGCAUCUGUUGCAACCGAUGAAGUUUUAACGAUACAAUUUGAAGGCUCUCCUGCUUCAUGUGAUGAAAAUGAGAAACUUAAUAAUGAAAACGCCUUUUGUGAGACCGGCAUAAAUAUUGCAUCUGAUGAAUCAAACGAUGCGUAUACAAUACAGGUUGAAAAUUCUGCUUCAUGUGAUGAAAAUAAGAUAAACCCUGAAAUUCAAGGGAGGAGGAUAAUCGAUUUUCGUUUCUUCAUGGAGCAGUUAUACACCAUAGAUGAGCAUAGUGAAAGAUUUGGCUGCAGAUUCAGUCACAUUAAAAUAUUAAAAGAAAAACAGGCUGGUUUCUCGUCAACGUUUCAUGCAAAAUGUGCUAUGUGUGGAUCAAUGUUUGCUAUUAAAACAUCGGAUGACAGAGAUACAGUUAACGUUAAUUCAUCCGCAGUUUCUGGAACUAUCAUGACUGGUAUUGGCCUCUCCAAUCUUAACGAACUUGCUGCAUCUGUAGAUUUGCCGACUAUACCUUUCCGUUUAUACAGUAAAUGUCAUGACAUAGUUGAAGAUAUGUGGAAAAAUACUGCAGAAGAAACUAUGCAAAGAGCUGGACAAGAAGAAGCUGAAGCUGCAAAAUUGCGUAACGAUAUUAAUUCAGCAGGUGUUCCCAAAAUUGCAGUACAAGCCGAUGCAUGUUGGAGCAAACGGUCGUAUAAAUCAAACUAUUCCGCAUUAUCUGGAGUUGCGGCUAUCAUUGGAGAACGAUCAGGAAAGGUUCUUCAUAUAGGCGUUCGCAAUAAAUAUUGCGUGGUCUGUGCUAGGGCAAAAAAAAAGGCGUUGUUCCCAGGGUACAUAAAUGCACA